GAUGAACGCUGGCGGCGUGCCUAAUACAUGCAAGUCGAGCGAACAGACGAGGAGCUUGCUCCUCUGACGUUAGCGGCGGACGGGUGAGUAACACGUGGAUAACCUACCUAUAAGACUGGGAUAACUUCGGGAAACCGGAGCUAAUACCGGAUAAUAUAUUGAACCGCAUGGUUCAAUAGUGAAAGACGGUUUUGCUGUCACUUAUAGAUGGAUCCGCGCCGCAUUAGCUAGUUGGUAAGGUAACGGCUUACCAAGGCAACGAUGCGUAGCCGACCUGAGAGGGUGAUCGGCCACACUGGAACUGAGACACGGUCCAGACUCCUACGGGAGGCAGCAGUAGGGAUCUUCCGCAAUGGGCGAAAGCUUGACGGAGCAACGCCGCGUGAGUGAUGAAGGUCUUCGGAUCGUAAAACUCUGUUAUUAGGGAAGAACAAAUGCGUAAGUAACUAUGCACGUCUUGACGGUACCUAAUCAGAAAGCCACGGCUAACUACGUG
rnacentral:rRNA from 1 species